GUUCCUGUCGCGCAAUUGAUAGCGCGUUGGACUUCUAAUCCAAAGGUCGUAGUUUCGAAUUCUAUCUGGAUGGCC
rnacentral:tRNA from 1 species